UGCCAGCCGCGCGGUAAUACGAAGGGUGCAAGCGUUACUCGGAAUUACUGGGCGUAAAGCGUGCGUAGGUGGUGAGUUAAGUCUGUCGUGAAAGCCCCGGGCUCAACCUGGGAAUGGCGAUGGAUACUGGCUCGCUAGAGUGCGGUAGAGGAGAGUGGAAUUCCCGGUGUAGCAGUGAAAUGCGUAGAGAUCGGGAGGAACAUCAGUUGCGAAGGCGGCUCUCUGGACCAGCACUGACACUGAGGCACGAAAGCGUGGGGAGCAAACAGG
rnacentral:rRNA from 1 species